GGUUCGGAGGCGACAACGAGUUCCGUAGCUCCAAGUAGGGAGUGACUGUGUUGGUUUUCUUUUUGUUGGAGACCGAGUUUUGCAGGUAUAGGUCAGUGUCCACUACAGGUCGCAUUUUGCGUUUUGUGACUCGCUCGAGGAGUGUGUGGUUGAGGCCUGUGGGAGUCUUGACUCCUGGCCCAUAGAUGAUAUUUGCCUAGUUUAGUUUUUUUUUGGAUAAUUGUUGGUUAUGUAAAGUUUAUUUCUUGAUAGACUUCCGCUGUAGUUUGUAAAUGACAAUUAUUUUGAGAUGUAAAUAAAAUGUGGCUGUUGAACUUCAGUUUUUAGUUAUUCUUGGAAUUGCUAGUAGCUGGCUUUUUGUUGGGUUGUUGUCGCGUGUCGUAUUGGGAUAGACUGAUGAGGUGCUAUUCCGGAACGGGGUGUGACAAGCACCUUCAAUAAUUCAUGUCAAAUCCACACACUAUAUCACUACUCUUCUAGUUUCUCUGCUAUCGGCUAUCAGUCAAUGCACUUGCAUGAGGCCUUACGUGAGUUUGAGUUGUAAAAUUGAAGUGUUCAUUUCCAUCUGUUUCAAUGUCCUUGAUGCACUUGUUUUCCUAUGCUUUGUAGAGUCAAUACCUUCAGAAUUUUUCCGUCAGGUUACAAUGUCCUUGAUGCACAAAUACUAUAUUGGCAUACAUCAGCUUCUCUGCCUUUUUAACUAUUCUAACCAAACAAUUCCAAAUUCAUUAGUAUUAGUAUUCAUGAACCAACAAAGCAUAGCUACUAAACAAAGUAACAGACCAAUGGAAUGGAAACACCAGAGAUAUAAGAAUCAAGAAUCCUAACCUUCUGUACAUUCAACAUCCUCUCGUAUAGAUCAAGUACCAGUUCCAAAUUAGCAUUCGAAUUCCGGUUCUUGACAUUGACCGCGACAGCAGCUUUAUUGUCCCGUAUCCACUUGAAAUCUAUUGCCGCUUUCCACUGCGGUUUCACAACUGAACCGGAUACCAAAAACAAUAGCAAGCACAUAAACCAAA